UACGGGGGGGGGCAAGCGUUGUUCGGAAUUACUGGGCGUAAAGGGCUCGUAGGCGGCCAACUAAGUCCGACGUGAAAUCCCCAAGCUUAACCUGGGAACUGCGUCGGAUACUGGAUGGCUUGAAUUCGGGAGAGGGAUGCAGAAUUCCAGGUGUAGCGGUGAAAUGCGUAGAUAUCUGGAGGAAUACCGGUGGCGAAGGCGGCAUCCUGGACCGACAUUGACGCUGAUGAGCGAAAGCUAGGGGAGCAAACGGGG
rnacentral:rRNA from 1 species